UACGUAGGGUGCAGGCGUUAAUCGGAAUUACUGGGCGUAAAGCGUGCGCAGGCGGUUUCUUAAGUCAGAUGUGAAAGCCCCGGGCUUAACCUGGGAAUAGCGUUUGAAACUGGGAGACUUGAGUGUGGCAGAGGGGGGUGGAAUUCCAGCGUGGUAAGCAGUGAAAUGCGUAGAUAUGUGGAGGAACACCGAUGGCGAAGGCAGCCCCCUGGGCUAACACUGACGCCUCAUGCACGAAAGCGUGGGGAGCAAACAGGAU
rnacentral:rRNA from 1 species